GGGGUGACAUCUCGAUUCUGGAGGACAUCACAGUUUCCAUUUGAUGCUCAAGCAGGAUCUAAUCUGACUCCUGACUCUGCAAAAUAUCGCAGGGUAAUUAGACAUGUUUGUGCUUUAUUGAUUCUUCAAACGAACACAGGCGUGCAGGGAAUUGCUGUGCUCCGGAUUGGAGGGAGGAAGGCUCCUUGAUCACAGGAGGAGCCAUAGGUGUAAGUAAUAGCCAGCACCCAAGUGCUCCAUCAGGCAGCGGUGGAGCAAAUCAACUUGUAUUGCCAAGACGUCUUCAUAGAAACGAGAGCAAAUCCAAUCUGCAGCAAAACAACAGCUGCGAGGCACGACGUGUUUGACCAAGAUGGAUGCCUCAGAGCUCCAAAGGAUUCCCAAGAACUCCUGGUACAGCCACGCAGAGAAUUAUAUUCACUCCCAAAAUAACACCGUUGUUUCCCUGCUCUGCCUCUG
ensembl:lncRNA